CCGAUUUUGACCUGACAUCAAUUUCACUUCACUCGUCGUAAAUUUACAUGCAUAGUUAACCCAAUCCCUUUCUUUUUUACGUAGGUGCCAUAAUUGGCACGGUUAUGACUACAUAACUAUAUUCUCAGCUCAAACAUAGAGCACACAGCAAUCAAGCAAAGAAACGAACAAAAACAAAACAACUGCAUCCACAAGAAUCCAGUGCCGCGAGCAAGUAGCGGAGAAUGUAAGAGAACCAGGCUGAAGAAUGCUUCUAAUGUCAUGCCCUGGUGGAUCUGGGAUAUAAGAUCACCCCCUUCGAGCUGACAACAAUCAUGACUAUGUGACUGAAUACAAGUUAAGCAUUGUCCACUGUCGGUGCCUGUCAAGGAAGGGCAACAUUUAAGGACUACAAUAGUAAACUUCAUCAUGCUUUAGCCGGUUAGGAAUUAAGUACACAAAAAAGGAAAACACUGGCCCCAUUCUUGUCAUAUGCAAGUAGCCCCGUUCUUGUCAUAUGUUACACCCAAUGCAUGCAAACAAGCACUACCUCUGUCCCAUAAUAUAAUACGUUUAGGAGUACGUAGUAAUUUUAGACCUUUUUAGGCAUCUACAAUGCUGGCUCUUAGCCCAGGCGCUAGGAUGUUAUUCCUGGCCAUUUUGGCUCCAUCCUGUUCGAUCCUAGGAUUUAGGCAAGCGUCGCUGCCAAGCCAAUCGUCUGACUCUUGGUCCUCUAUUUUUUGCCAUAAGACUUUUUAACAAACGCUGCAUCUUCGCCAAGCGACUUCAAGGUAUCUUUGCCUACGGACAUACAACAUCUUCGCCAACAAGCACUCUAAGACUACGCUCAAGAGAAGCUCCUCAAGCUCAAGUCCGCGACUUCCACGAGCUACUACGACCUCGACAUCGACCAUAUGAUUCCUUUCUAUGGAACUCUAGAACCGAGGAGUAUCUCGAGUGCGAGCGCUUGAUGGACGACUACCUCAAGCUACAUCAAGUUCCUCCCGAAGAUCAAGUGAAGUGCGCCACAAGAAACUUUCACCACUACGCGUCAACAUGGUGGCUUCACACACCUUUGGAGAGCUACGACAUGAGUUGGUCCAAGACAAAGAAAGCUAUGCGGCGAGAGUUCGUGCCUCCAACCUACACGGAAUAACUUCUACGCCAAUUGGAGAACACCGCCCAAGGAUCCAAGUCCAUCGACACAUACUUCAAGGAGAUGAAGAAUGUCUUGCAACGAGCCGGCGUGGACGACCCCAUUUUAAUGAAGUUCCACUUCAUGAUGGGAUUGCGCAACGACAUCUCCAAGACUAUCUUCCUCGAGAACUACAAGUCCCUCGACGACUACUACAUUGGUGCUCUCAAGGCGGAACAAGAACUCAUGAAGGCCAAGGCUUCUCCACCCAAGCACACUUCUCGAAGACCAAGCUCCAAGACGGCGAGCAUGAGGAUAGUACCACCACGAUGUCCAAACCCGACAAGCUCCAAGACGACGCUCCCAAGUUUGACUUCACCGCCAUCCCACUUUAUGGCAUUGAUAAUGCCGAGUCUACUUCGACUCUUUCAAGAUGGUGCGGCGACGACUACGACUACGGAGGCAUUCAAGGACCAAGCUUUGGAGGCGAACGACAUGGUGACGAGCAAGGAUGAUACUUCCAUCUUUGGAGGCGAGUGAUGAUGUGCCAUCUUCGGCCUUUAUCCAUGGCGACAGCGACGAGAUGGUGGAGCAUGGGAUUUUCCCUUCGACCACGGCGACGUAUGAUGACUUGAGUGACUUUUGCCAUCAUAUUGAGAGUGAGAGUGACUUCACCACUAGCCUCAUAUAUGAUGUGUUGCCCCAAUUCCCAUGUGAGAGCCAUAACCCCCACCACUUGAGUAAGAUGAGUGACUCCUCCAUACGUGAGAUUGAGUGCACCUAUUUUGAGGAAGUGAGUGAACCACCACAUAGAGAGUGAGAUAGUUGAUAGGGCAUGUGAGGCCAUUUCGAUUUCUAAUGACUUAACCUCUACCACUAUUGUGUCUUUCAUUUGGUGCUAGGUCCCAUAUAUGAUGACGCGCCGAUUCGCGAUGACUGCGACAUGGUUCCAUAAAGAUGAUGACAUUGACCACCAUUUGAUCUUUCCCACCUCACCUACACCACUUGAGUGGAAUGAGUAAGGUAACAUAGGUGAAGGUGAUGCUCUGGUCUCACUAGUGGACAUUCUUGACAUUGAUUGCUUGCAUGAUGUUGAUCCACCUAUUACCAUGCUUCAUGCUAGUAUGACUUCCCCAUGCGAUGAUUUACCCAUUUAUGAUGAAUUUGAUGAUUGCCAUGUGGAGUCUAUUAGUUGCGAUGUCACGUUGCAUAGGAUUUCUUGGCAUAAUUCUUUAGGUCGCAUCGUGUUUGACAAUCCGCUUGACCUGUCAUAUGCUAUGUAUGAGAUCAACCAUAUGUCAUAUUUGUAAUUUCAUCAUAGUGACUAUGCAUAUGCCAUUAAAAAUAACUCAAUUUGCACUUAUAGCAUAGAUGACAAGGCUAUGGUUAUUGCCAUUUGUUUUUCUUCUAAUGAUAUUGAUAUGCUCCCUUUGCAUCAUUUAUCUCAUAUGUCAUGCCAUGACCACCUAGCUUCGGAUAUGCAUUGUUUUGAAUGUUGUCCAUUUUCUUCAUAUGAUGUUUUCGAUAUUGCUUAUGAGGAGACCCCCAUAGUUUUCUCAUACAUGUUAGGAGAUUUUGAUCACUCCCAUCCAUUGCAUGAUCCCAAUACUUGUGUGCACAAUAUGCUCCAUAUGAAUGAUGUGCCAUAUAUUUGCAUUCUCAAUUUGUGUCCCCAUCGUGUCAUACAUAAUAACUAUUUUUUCAUGAUGGAUGACAUGUUCUUAUAUCAUGCAUCAAAUUUCUUUAAGCGAUGCUUAUCUUAUGCUAACUCACACAUGCACAUACACAUCAUGAUGGAUGAUGUGUACAUUUACCACGCACACAAUUUCUUUGGUUUGUGUCUCUUUUGUGUAGGUACCCAUGAAUACUUGUCAAUCUCGCAAUCCCAGGAGUUAACAAAACAAGCUCUAAAAAACAAUGAUGACUUGAGAUCCCAUUGAUUGUCUUUCCCACCACUCUCUUCGCGCAAAGACUUCGCGCAUUUCUUCUACAUGGUCCUAUACCUUUGCCAUACAUUUGUGACCCAUACUUUACAUUACACAUGAUGAUUGAUUCUAGUACUUGUAUGUGUAUUUGCAAGCUUGGAGGAGAUAUCACUUGUUAUUGCCAUGUUUGCUUUGUACCCAUGCCUAUGAUGAUACUAUGACCUUACUUUGUGUUCGUGCUUGCGAUAUGUCAUGUGCAUUGCCUAUGCCUAUUAUUUGCUCACCUGACAUGAUUGCCAUGAUUUCCUCUAGUAUGUUGCAUCGUCGCACUACUAGCUUGCACGACUUGAUUAUUAUGAUUGCUUGCUUGUUGCAUCACCAAUGAUUCAUACUUGCUCCUUUCAUGCGGUUGAUGACAACCAUUACCAGGCUUUGCACAUGAUUCAUAUUGCUUCUUGUCAUAUAUCUUCAUAUGUUGCCUCUCUCAUGCUAGAUGAUUUGCCAUGUAUUGAGUGCAAUUAUGUCUUUAGUCUUGAUGUUGAGUUUGUCCCCAUAGCAUUCUCACAUAUAUUUGGAGAUUUUGACAUAUUUCUUGUGAAGCAUGCUUGCCUUCCCUCUUUGCACCAUAUUCCUAGUGCCAUGAAUAUAGCCAUUGUUGCAUCAUAUUAUUCAUGCACUUGUGCUUCUAAUGGUUGCGUGCAAAAGAUGAGAACCAUCAUGAUGGAUGAUGUGUUUAUCUACCAUGUGCAUACGUUCUUUGCUUUGUUUUGUGCAUGUGUAGGAUACUUGGACUUCGUGUCGACUUCCAUUUCACAUGAGUUAACCAUUCAAGCUCUUGAGAGUGAACCACCUUCUACCACGAAGAUUAUACAUCGCACUUGCUUGUGUUUUGGCAUUGUGAAGGACGCACAAGGACAUGCUUUCCAGGUGAUAGCAUUCUCUUUUGAGAACCUCCAAACCAUGAGCUUGGAUAUUAUGGAUCAUACUACUUGUGUUGCUUGCUUCAUUAAACUUUUUGGUCAUUUUGGACCACUUGAUUGCGCACAUGUUAGAGAUCUUGCUUGGAUUUGUCGUUUCCACAUUGACAUGCCUCAUGACAUAUAUACCUUGUGUGUUGCAUCCAAUUCUUGGACUACUUACUUCUAUCAUAUGCUUGGUUGCAACAAUGUCAUUUCUUCACAUACGACAUGUCCCAUUGCUUGCCACAUGAUUAACUUGAUUGCCUCACACAUGUUGAACAAUUCCAUUGUGUUGAGUGCCACACUAUAUUCGCUGCACCCUAUGCACGUUAUGCUUGGCUUGGCUUGCACUUGACUCAUGUGUUUAGACAUAUCAUCUUAUUUGGUGUUGUGAAUGAUUCUUAUGCCUACCAUAGACCUUUCAUUGAGCAAUUUGUUAAUGCUUGCUUUGAGCUUCAGGUAGAUGCUUAUACUCUUGUCACACAUAUUUGCAUCACUACCUCACAUUUACAUGCUUGUCCCAAUGAUACCUUUGCUUGUGCUCGAUUGAUAUACUUACAUGCCAUGUCACAAUCCUUUGUCAAACCAUAUGCUAUGCUCGAUGACGACACUUGUUUGAUGAAUAACCUCUUGAAUGCUGGGUUUUGCACUAAUGCUAACCACAUUUGUUUUUCCAAGUGUUUGUUGUCCUUACUCCUUUUGAAGGAAUCACAAGAUGGUGCGACAUUGGAGAGUGCCCAUUUCGAGCUUCAAGAAGACGAGUACUUGGUGAACGUCCACUUCUACACAGCGACGCCAUCUUCUUCCCAUGGUGAUUUGGUUUUCGAUCCGAGGUCGGAUCUUUCCCAAGGGGAAGGGGAUGAUGCAGAGCAUCCUACGGACAUCACCAUGUCAAGAGUCCGUUUGGCAAGUGACACGUGCGACAUCUACUUCACAUAUACAAAGGUGAAUCAUCUCCUUUACGCGUGUUCACUUAACCCCUUCGAGGAUGGUAUACCACUUGACACUCCACUCGUGUGCAUACAUAGGUACUGUCAAAACACCGCGGAUCACGAGGAGGAGUGUGAGCGCAAGCGUACAACUACACCAUCCACCAGGGAAGCAUGGAAGAGAAGGAAGAAGAGGAUCUGCCCAGUCCGGAACGGGCGGUACUACCGCCCACCCCAAGCAGUACUACCGCUAAGCCCAUCCAAGCGGUACUACCGCCCAACAUCCGCCCUACUUCCGCUUAACCCGACAAGCUCCUGUGAUCGAGCGGUACAAGUCCGGUACUACCGCUAAGCCGCUCAAGCGGUACUACCGCCCUGUGUGCGCACAGUGUAUCAGGCCUCCGGCCCAUGUAUCCUCUCCCACUUACCCCUUCGUGGCUAAGACUAUAUAUAGACCCCCUCUCCCUCCUAGUUAGGGUUAGCAAAUAUGAUAGCUCAUUUGUAUGUGAGCUUUGCUCCUACCUAUCUCUACUCUUGAGAGAGAGAGAGAGCACCACUCCCAUGGAGUUCAAGACCUCCAUGUGAGAAGAUCCUGCGGGAUAUAUUGUCAAGACCCCUCACAGGAAGAUCCGUCUAGGAUAUCACCAAGACCUCCUCAUGGAGAUGAACUUUACCUUGUAUCUUUCCUUUUGUUGUUCAUGUACCUUGUGGAUCUUGUGUGUUUGAUUGUCUAGUGGAUGUGCGAUUGGAAUUGUUCUUGAGUGUUUCCCCUUGUGGUUUCUCUCCGUUCUUCCCCGUGUUCUUCAUGUUCUUCAAGGGAAUCCACUCAAAUCGUGAAAGAUCGGCCUACACCGGGUUAGCCCCGUAUCACCACUCCAACUUGUUUGGGACUAAAGGCUUUGUUGUUGUUGUUGUUGUUGUUCGUUAUUGUUAUGGUUUAAUGGUUGCUUUUGUUCUUCAACGGUCAGAGUGCUGUUGGGUCUGUGGUAGGUUCGGUUUAUGUGUGUGUUUUUAUUGUCAUGCACUCCUUUUACAGAAAAGAAGAUUUGUCUGUGGUUUAUUUAGGUUGUUGUUUCUGUGUUUAGGUAGAUUAUUCAGCAAAUGCUUGGGGGUGGGUCCUGUGAUGUUGCUGUGAAGUGUCUGUUUUAUGGUGGUGGUGUUUUUAGAGGGCUUUUAUUACGUCUGGUUGAAGAUUCUAUGGCAUUAUCAUUUUGUCUUGCUGCAACUGCAGUCCACGUUGUAGCUAUGCUAGCUCUUAGGUAAAAAUCAUGGUUCGUGUUGCUUGGUAGGAGGUUCAAAUGGUUAUUUGAAGUCGUUUUGGUUGAUGUCUUGCUGAAGCAUGCAUAUGUUUGGUAUAUCCAGUUAUGUAUAUGUAUAGUUGUUUUAUGUCUGGCUCUGAGCGAGCCUUGCUGUUAGCUUCAGUGCUGCCAGCAUUGCUAAACAUGUACUUUACUUGUGCUGUCUCAUUGGUUAUCUUCGAUCAAGAAGAAAAGAUUGUAUGGCCUGGUAGUGAAAUUGAUGGGUCUAAGUUAACAUAGAUUUAUAGAUUUGUUUUUCUUAUGCAUUACUGUCAUUUGUAGCCAAACUGCUAUAUGUCAUUUUCAUGCGACUCUUUUCCUAAUUAGUCCAGUUUUAUUGGUAUGUGUAUUGAGAUUCAUUUAUUUUAUCCCCUUUGUGUUUUGUUUCUCUGUGCUUUAACAUGGUCGUCCAGGAAGGGCAAUUGUUCAGUUAUGCCGCCGGAGAUCAUGGCUCUGAUGGGAAGGAAAUAUGUCGUCGAAGUGACCGUGCCACGAUAUUCAUUUAGGAGAGAUAAGGAUGCCUUGACUUUCUAGGUUCGCAAGUUCUUCCCACUGGGUGGAUCUAUGUAUCACGAUUUCGUUGCAGGCAGCAGUUCUUCCUGUACCGGUGCUGCAGCGGAAUUGCCUGCUCAUCUUGGUAGGUAGCUCUAGGCGAUUCCUUUUGAAUUUGGUCCAUUUUGUGGUUCUAAAAUUGUUUGUUUUAUGAUAAUUGUGUGUAGAUGGAGUGGCUGCUGAAGCUUCUGGCGCUGCUAGCCAGCGCCAUGAGCUCCCUGAAGGUGUAUUUACGCCAGCAAAGGAUGUGUUGGUGACUUUCCCUUCAUUACCUUUUGAACUGUGUCCAUGCCAGAUUUCCAGUUCGUCUGAAGCUCAUCUGCUCUUAUACAUAUGUUGUUAUUACAG
rnacentral:lncRNA from 1 species